rnacentral:rRNA from 1 species
CACGUAGGGCGCAAGCGUUGUCCGGAAUUAUUGGGCGUAAAGAGCUCGUAGGCGGUCUGUUGCGUCCGCUGUGAAAACUCGGGGCUUAACCCCGAGCCUGCAGUGGAUACGGGCAGACUAGAGGUAGGUAGGGGAGAAUGGAAUUCCUGGUGUAGCGGUGAAAUGCGCGGAUAUCAGGAGGAACACCGGUGGCGAAGGCGGAUCUCUGGGCCUUACCUGACGCUGAGGCGCGAAAGCUAGGGGAGCAAACAGG